AAUAGACCUGGUAGUCCACGCCGUAAACGAUGAGUGCUAAGUGUUAGAGGGUUUCCGCCCUUUAGUGCUGCAGCUAACGCAUUAAGCACUCCGCCUGGGGAGUACGGCCGCAAGGCUGAAACUCAAAGGAAUUGACGGGGGCCCGCACAAGCGGUGGAGCAUGUGGUUUAAUUCGAAGCAACGCGAAGAACCUUACCAGGUCUUGACAUCCUCUGCCGACCCUAGAGAUAGGGCGUUCCCCUUCGGGGGACAGAGUGACAGGUGGUGCAUGGUUGUCGUCAGCUCGUGUCGUGAGAUGUUGGGUUAAGUCCCGCAACGAGCGCAACCCUUGAUCUUAGUUGCCAGCAUUCAGUUGGGCACUCUAAGGUGACUGCCGGUGACAAACCGGAGGAAGGUGGGGAUGACGUCAAAUCAUCAUGCCCCUUAUGACCUGGGCUACACACGUGCUACAAUGGAUGGUACAAAGAGCAGCGAACCCGCGAGGGUAAGCCAAUCUCAUAAAGCCAUUCUCAGUUCGGA
rnacentral:rRNA from 1 species